CUGUGCAACACUGCCCCAGGAAGCACCUCUAGUGGCCACUUCUCAGAUGGCCACUGGAGGUGCUUCCUGGGGCAGUGUUGCACAG